CUACGGGGGGCUGCAGUCGAGAAUCUUCCGCAAUGGACGAAAGUCUGACGGAGCGACGCCGCGUGCGGGAUGAAGGCCUUCGGGUUGUAAACCGCUGUCAGUGGGGAGGAAAUGCAUCAGGGUUCUCCCUGGUGUUUGACCGAUCCGCAGAGGAAGCGCAGGCUAAGUUCGUGCCAGCAGCCGCGGUAACACGAACUGCGCGAACGUUAUUCGGAAUCACUGGGCUUAAAGAGUUCGUAGGCGGCCUCUCAAGUCGGGUGUGAAAUCCCUCGGCUCAACCGAGGAAUUGCGCCUGAUACUGUUGGGCUUGAGGGGGAUAGGGGUGAGCGGAACUGAUGGUGGAGCGGUGAAAUGCGUUGAUAUCAUCAGGAACACCGGUGGCGAAGGCGGCUCACUGGAUCUCUUCUGACGCUGAGGAACGAAAGCUAGGGGAGCGAACGGGAUUAGAUACCCUGGUAGUC
rnacentral:rRNA from 1 species